AGACCCAGGUUUGUUUCGUUUAAAGGAGGAUGCAAUUCUGUCCGUGAAUGCAUUUUCUCUAAAUGUUGGCUUCAUCCCUCCUUUGGUAGAGCAUGUCAACGGAUUUGCUAAUGGCAAAGAAGGGAAAACAGAAGCAAAGAAAACUGUUUCAAAAGUCUUGGAAUUGCUACUGUUAAAAGGCUGCGGUUCAUUUCUGAUUUCCUCAUCUUUUGCUACAAAGGAAAAAGAAAUCCAAUGAUGUGUCUACCUUUGGUGAGAAGAAAACACGAGCAACAGCAGUGUAGGUGUGUUUGUUUGUUUUUCUUUUUUCCUGGAAAAAUAUUUUUAAUAUUCACCAAUUAGCGAGUUGAAAGCUGUGGAGAUGUAAAAGAUGUUCUCUUGUCCACAUCUAUUUGUUGAGUUUCGUCAAUGGAGUUUUGUAGGCAUUUGUACCAGAUAGAAAUGGAGAGAAAGAGAAUUAAACACUUGCCAAGGAACAAUAUAUACACUUUCAGGUAACUCCACCUAAUCCUGUAUUUGAGUGCUGAUAGGGAGGAGGAGGGGGUGCUAUUUUCCCCUCACAAACCCCCCAAAGCCGUAUUAGACAGAAAGAGGGGGUGAGAACUCUAUGACUGAGCAUUCUGACAAAAAUGGAAGCAGCACCUCUCUGCUCCUAGACCCCUAAGGAAAGACGCCCCCAAAAUGUGCAAAAGCCGUUAUGUUUCCUUUAGAGUCCUGAGUUGGGUGGACCUUUCAGAGACAUACACAGUCAUUAAUAUUUUAAAAAACAAAAUGCAGAAACGGAGGGCAGUGGCUAACAGAAAAGAAAAACAUGCUAAAAUUUAUUCCUGAAACACCGCAAAUUUCCAGAUGCCACAAAAAAUCAAUGCAAACGCACCCCCUCCUAACUGAGCAGACAGACCCGGUGAGGGUUCCAGUUGAAACUGGAAUUGGAGAUCUGAACUCCGCUAGAGCAAUGGGAGACGUUACCCCGAGGCUUCCGGAGUGGAGGUAGGGGACGUCUCCCUCCUUCCAGCCCGCGGUUCCCACCUGUUCCCUCCGCCCGGGGCUGGGGCGCGGGAGAGAGCAGGAGCUGGAGCGAUUCCGCCUACAGUCUCCAAGGCGUACCUGGCGCUACUGCUGCUCUUACCAAACCAAGAAGGAAACCCAGAUAGGCCCCUAGAGGCCAAAGACCCCGCCAAAGGGACCGAAGCUCCCGGUCCGAGGCAUACGCAACGGCCUGCCCUGUUCCCAGGCCAGGCUCCCACGCCCGGAUGGACAAAAGGCUCACAGGCCACACUGGUCCCGGAGCCGCUGUGAAACGCAAUGGAGGGGGACAGUCUCCUCGCCGCGCUCUGGUGCGUGUGUGCGCGCGCGCGUGUGUGAAACACGUGCACUCGGUGCGGGCCUCCGGCCGCAGACGUCACCUGAGGAAGUUCACCCCCGGGGUUCCCAGGCCCUGAACCCGCCAUCCCCUCCAUGUCGCCUCAGCCGCCCCCACCUGCUACCCAAAUCCCGGGACACGCCCGGACAGGUGUGCAGCCUCUAACUGGAAAGCUCCCGGGAAAAGAGCCACGCCAGGAAAGGAGGCGGCUGGAGGAGGGGGUAGGGAUAGAGAAGAGAGAUGGUACUUCCAGAGCUCAGACGUCCCUAUCUUCCGAGAAAUUGUCAUCACACUCAAUCUUUACACCCUGAUCUACGGUAUCCAAAAAGCAGACAUUGAUUCGCGGAAAAAUCGAGUUCUCGAAAAUACAGGGAUUUGACGCGGACUCCUGAGACCUGCGCAGGCGUUGCUUAGGUUCAAAAGUAUGAUUUUAAUUUUCUUAAUGAAGGCGCGCUCUAGAGCUCAGCUGGUAAUGGCUGUGUUGAGUUUAAUAGACUUCUGUCGAACAGAAAAAGACGGAUAAGUAAUCUGCUCUAAUGCAAUUAUUUUCCCAGGUUCGAAAGUCAUUGUGCAGAGAGGGCAGGAGUGAAUUAAGGCCCCGGGGACCGCGGACGCCUGGCCAGGAGACCGCCUGAAAUAUGAGCCGAACCUGUUUUGUGAGAUGCACUUGGGUUUGGGGGUCAGGGUCGAAGGCUUCAAAGCCCUUGGUCUGCACGUGUGAAAAAUCUCUCUCUUCCUCCCUCCCUCCUGCUCCUCCUCUCCCUCUCUUUCUCCCUGUUCCCCUUUCUCCUCACCUCUCUCAGAAUUAAUGUUAAUUUCCUCUCCCCCUCCUCUAUUUUGCUUGUCUUUGUGUAUUUCAUGCUGAUCCAUUUAAUCCAAAGUAUUUCUCUGAAACACACACAGAAGUAGGCUCUUGGACUGUGUCAGCCCAAUCACCUUUUGAAACCCAAGAGAAUUGGGAUGUUGAAGAUACUGAGGACACUGUGUACAUACAUAGACAAUGUAUUGUGAGGGCUAUUUCUAUCCCAGUAAUGAGCCAGUGCCCAUCACUGUGCAAAAGUUUUAGCCUUAACACAAGUUAUCAUUCACAGUAUUUAUUUGGCGUUGUCCAAAGUCUUCUCAGCUUCAUUUGUUCAAACUCUUCUCAGCUUCAAACUCUUCACUUUGCCAGGUGAACAGAAUCUCAAGCAGGCGUCAUUUUAAAAAAUAAAAAUAUCACAACUCAUAAUUUCCCUUCUUACAGAAAACCCAAAUCGAUGCAAAGAAAGCCCUUCAUUCUCACCUGGACGAAAGAGUUGGAGACAGGGCAGGCCGCCUGGCCAGAGGAGUGAGCACUGGCAGCUGAGCCAGCACCCUAGAGCCCAGCACCCCUGAGCCCAGCUCUCUAGUGUGAACCUCUGCCCGGCCACUCCAGCCCCACUCUUCCCGACAGCCUCUCUCCCCGGUGCUGGAAAACAAAGAAAGUUCUUGGGACUGAGGCACAAAAAGGGUUAAAUGAACCCCAAGCAAUAGGUGUGUCUAUUCCAGACCCCUAGGUGAGGCGACAGUAGCUGGGUUUGAUGCGUGUCUCUGAGCUCCACAAACUGAUUUGGUCUAGGGUUCCUUAGCUUUGUACAUUCUCUUUCUUUCUCCCCCACCCCAUCACACACACACACAGACACACACACACACACACACACACAAACACGCAUGCGGUGACCUAGGCACGUGUGCUCACAAACAUCCACAAAGCUCUGUAAUUGCUGUCUCCUCUUCCCUGACCCGAUCCUAUCCCAGUCCUUCCUACCCCGCCGCCCGCGCCCGCCUCCACAGCAGCUGGAUUCACACAAAAAAGGGAAGAACGUUAAAACAAGCAAAAAUCCAUUUGCAAACCCCCCUCGGUUCCCCCCCCCGCCCCCACCGGCUGAGGAGGAGCACAGCUGGCUCCCCCGAGACAGGAAGCUGGGGUGCAGCAGGCCAGGGAGCAAGGCUCCUCCCGUCUGUGGGCCUUGCAGUGCCACCUCUCACAGAGGGUGUGGGGGUUGGGUGAGGUGAAGGGUGCUUUUCACUUUCCCCCUCCCCCACGCUCUUCGCGGGCUUUUGGGAAUGGAGUUAGGAAGAGAUCCAGUCUUCAGGACCCCACGACUCUCAGGACCUGGAGAAGCAGCGUAGGGCGGGCGCCUCCGAGCUGCCACAGUGUGACUGCACCAGAGCCCACGUCCGCCGGCGAGAAAGUCUGCGCCGAGGACGGCCGCGUCGAACUCCUGAAGCGCUCAGCCCGCAGAGAAGCUCGCUCGGCAGUGCUCAGGCCCAGCCCAAUCUAGCAGUCUAGCAUUUGGGUGGCACCAGGAUGGAGGGCUGCCUCUGGCUCCAAAAGCAGAUUUGGAAUGCAGGAGAACGAGUGACUGUCAGAGCCAGUCUCUCUCCUCUGUCCUCUCUCUCUCCUCUCUCUCAAGCCAGAUUUAGAAUGCAGGAGAAAGGGUGACAGAGCCAGUCUCUCUCCUCUCUCCCCUCUCCCCUCUCUCUCUUUCUCUCCCACUGCGCCUCUGCCAUUCCUAGAUCUCUCUUCCCAUGCCUUCGGAGGACACACCUGCAGGAGCUGCUGAGUUGUUUUGGUGACCCGGGAGAUCAAUAGCAAGGACCCAGAAACACCCACAAGCUCUAAGUGGGUCUAAUUUUGCUUUUGAAAAGUAGUAGGAGAGGAAAGAGACUUUAUUACCUAACCGUGAGUUUUCCAAGAUGAUCCCCCUCAGCCAAGCAAAGUUGAGAAGGGUUCGACAGAGGGUGAGGACAAGAUAGUUCCCUCUUAGCCCCCUCCACACCUCUACAAGAAACCUGGACGGAGCUCCCCCACCAGCUGAGAACUCCUUGUAAAGGCGCCUUGGGGUCCCCACCUGUGCCACUUACCCAGAUCACCACGGCCUCUAGGAUCUCAGACCAUUCUCAUCCCGGAAGCCGCUGACUAGACCAGGCAGAAACUGCAGGCUGUUCAGAAUCCAAUUCUCUGGAUAUUGGCAUGCUACAUUCAAUGUCCAGCUACAUUAAGUGUCCAUCUAUCAAAAUACUAGAUUUCAUGGCUGGAGCAGGAAAAGUUAUGAGCUUGGAAUAUCUUCAGUGCCUGAAAGUGAGG
rnacentral:lncRNA from 1 species